AAUCAACGCUGGCGGCGUGCCUCAGACAUGCAAGUCGAACGCGAAAGCUCCCUUCGGGGAGCAAGUAGAGUGGCGCACGGGAGAGUAACACGUAGGUAAUCUACCUUUGGAUGGGGAAUAACAACCGGAAACGGUUGCUAAUACCGCAUAAUGCAGCGGCACCUAAUGGUGACAGUUGUUAAAGCGGGGGAUCGCAAGACCUCGCGUCUGAAGAGGAGCCUGCGGCAGAUUAGCUAGUUGGUAAGGUAACGGCUUACCAAGGCGAUGAUCUGUAGCCGGCCUGAGAGGGCGGUCGGCCACACUGACACUGACAUACGGGUCAGACUCCUACGGGAGGCAGCAGUCGGGAAUUUUGGGCAAUGGGCGAAAGCCUGACCCAGCAACGCCGCGUGAAGGAUGAAAUCCCUCGGGAUGUAAACUUCGCAAGAACGGGAAGAAUAAGUAAGGGUUAAUAUCCCUUGCGAUGACGGUACUGUUUGUAAGCUCCGGCUAACUCCGUGC
rnacentral:rRNA from 1 species